rnacentral:rRNA from 1 species
AACGAACGCUGGCGGCAGGCUUAACACAUGCAAGUCGAACGGGUGUAGCAAUACAUCAGUGGCAGACGGGUGAGUAACACGUGGGAACCUUCCUAGGGGUACGGAACAACUCAGGGAAACUUGAGCUAAUACCGUAUACGUCCGUGAGGAGAAAGAUUUAUCGCCCUUAGACGGGCCCGCGUCGGAUUAGGUAGUUGGUGGGGUAACGGCCUACCAAGCCUACGAUCCGUAGCUGAUCUUAGAGGAUGAUCAGCCACACUGGGACUGAGACACGGCCCAGACUCCUACGGGAGGCAGCAGUGGGGAAUCUUGGACAAUGGGCGCAAGCCUGAUCCAGCCAUGCCGCGUGAGUGAAGAAGGCCUUAGGGUUGUAAAGCUCUUUUACCAGGGACGAUAAUGACGGUACCUGGAGAAUAAGCCCCGGCAAACUUCGUGCCAGCAGCCGCCGCCGUAA